UAGUAAUGCUUAAUGCGCACAUCCAGGGAAUGAUCAGAGCUUUGUUUUAAGAAGCCAGUCUGGCAGCAGUAUUAAUAAAAGGUGGAUUUGGAGGGCAUGAUAGGAAGAACCUAAUACCACUUGAAAAUAUGUUAGGGUCCUUUUGUAACAAGAGCAGAAACUGACAUAUCAGCUUAAAUAGAAAAAGAAAUUGACUUUAAAAGUGGAGGGUUGCUCUUGAGAGUGAAGGAAAAAACGAAGAAUGGGGCCAGGAAGGAUGAAAACCAGGGUAACUGCAGGAGUCUGGAUCAUGGGCACUGUGGGC
rnacentral:lncRNA from 1 species